rnacentral:misc_RNA from 1 species
UGUCACUGCAGCUGCAUUGAAGCCCACGGACGUUCUGGUGCGGGUUCGUGCGGCCGGAUUGUGUCACACCGAUCUCGAAGUGAUUGAGGGAUCGUUGCGCUUUCCGAUGCCGAUUGUGCUCGGCCACGAAGCCGCANGGUCGGCUCAGCCGCGCGCGGCGUAAAGAAGGGCGAUCACGUCGUAUUGUCGUGGAAUCCGCAUUGCGGCCACUGCUUCUAUUGCGAUCGCGACUUGCCGAUCCUUUGCGAGGAAUAUCUCGGCGAAGGUCCGAAGGCGCGGUCGUUCGACGGCGAGAGCCGCGCGAAGCUUGCCGAUGGCCG